rfam:Izhakiella sp. D4N98 NODE_6_length_247640_cov_108.729_ID_2963, whole genome shotgun sequence.
UAUUACCAUUGUGAUGUGGUUAUUUCAAUCGUAAUUUACUGAUUGGCAGGGCAAUAAUGUUAUUGCCCUUUUUGUUUU